AAAUAUUCUGUAUACAGCUGUAGAUUUGGUGUGUCCCUGGCAGGAGGUGUGCUCAGGAUCCUUUUAUGUCACCGUCUUAAACUGGACCCUGUCUCUUUUUGCACAUGUGCUCCUUGGUGCAGAAGGCCCUGUUUGAGGAGGAGGACCACAUCCAGAAGUUGCAGCAGAAGGUGGCCACCCUGGAGAAGGGGAACAAGCAGGUGUGAGAUCCAGUGAAGAAGGUCAAGGAGGUCCCAAGUGCACAAGAACGGCUGCCACCUGGAGCUGCUAAACUGAAAGAGAAGCUGCCAGAUACAUCAAAAAAUACAUCUAGAUGUGGAACAAUUCUCACGGAACACCUACUGCGCGCUGGCAGGUAAAAGGACCAAAGUUGUAGGACAGAGCUCCAUGUACCCAGUUCCUAAGGAGGAAUACUCAAGUUUUGCUCUUCUCCCAGAAGUGCUCCAGUCCCACCUACCUCACACCACAGCUCAGAAAUGGCUUCUCCUCCAACAAAUGGGGAACAAACAGAGUCUGACAACCACAGAGCAAAGAGGCCCUGCACAACACCCAGAGCAGGCUCUGGUUACCACAACACCAGUCACACACUAUCAAGGGGAUAACAGCCAGCACAGACUGAGGAAAGAUGUGGGAUGCAUCCAUACUAAAAACAGGCAUCACACCAAAAAUAUUAGACUCGUGUAGGCUAUACAGGGAUGCUCCCAUAUAUAAACAUCCCUCCAAGACCACAAAAUAGCUCUUUGUCCUAAACUCAUAGAGUCAGAGAAAUAGAAGUAAAAAGCAGAAGAACCACUCCCAAUGAAAAGAUCAAGAGAAAACCCCUGAAAGAACAAACAGUGAAAAAGACCUCUCCAGUCUACAAGACCCUGAGUUCAGAAAGGAGGUAAUAAAAGUACUAAAUGGAUUAGGAAAGACUGUUGAUAGAAAUACAGGUUAUUGAAAAAAGGAAGCAGAAACUGUGAGGAGCCAAUUAGAAAACUCAUUUGCUGAAAUAGAAGCUGAGCUAAGUGCAAUGCAUAUAGCAAAUUGAAUAAUGCAGAAGCACAAAUAAGUGAUCUGGAAUUUAGAAUAAUGAAAAUCACCCAAUUGGAACAGUAGAAAGACAAAAAAAAAAAAAGGCAAUAUACCAGACCUAUGGAAUAAUAUAAAAUGUACCAAUCUAUGCAUAAUCGGGAUCCCAGAGGAGAGGAAAGAAAAAAAGAGGAUUGAAAAUAUAUUUGAAGAAAUUAGGGCUUAAAAUUUCCCAACCUAAUAAAGGAAACAGAUAUCCAGGUACAGGAACCAUAGAGAUUCCUAAGCACUAUGAACCAGACAUAACUAAAAUAGCAGCAGUUACAGGCAACAAGAGAAAAAGUUAAUUUCAAGGGAACCCCUCUAAGGCUAUAAGCUGAUUUCUCUACAGGAACAUUGCAGGCCAGAAAGGACAUGCAAGGUAUGUUCAAAGUUCUGAAAGGGAAAAACCUGCUACUGAAGAUACUCUACCUAGCAAGAGAAUCAUUUAGAAUAGAAGGAGAGAGAAAGAAUUUCUCAGGAAAGAACAAAACCAAUACAGCAAUACCAAACCUAUCCCAAAGGAAAUAUUGCAAGUUCUCUAAAUAGAAAACAAGCUAGACAAUAGAGGAAGGAGAAACUCGCAGUUGGGAAGUAAACCGCUUAAAUAAGCUAGAGGUAAAAAAAUUUUGUGUGUGAAAGUGAUAACUACAAUGAACAAAAAAAUUAAAAGGGGGAGGGGAGUAAGAAAAUGUAGAUUUUUUUGUUUUUAGAAUGUACUUGAGCCUAAAGCAAGUAGAUAUAAAAUGGGUUAUUAAUAUACUUGAAAAGCAUGGUAACCACACAUCAAAAACAUGCAAUAGAUUCAUGAAAACUAAGAGAAUAUAAGCAUAAUAUGAAAGAAAACCAUCAAACCACAAAAGGAAACAGAACUAAGGAGAAAUACAAAAUCAACUGGAAAACAAGGUUUACAAUGGCAGUGAUUACAUAUAUCAAUAAUCAUGAUAGAUGUCCAUACACUAAAUGUUCCAAUCAAAAGACACCCAGUGCCAGACUGGAUAAUAAAACACAAGCCCACAAGAUGCUGCCCACAAGAGAACCACUUUAGGGCAAAGGACAUACAUAGACUGAAAGUGGACGGGAUAGAAAAAGAUUUCAUGCAAACAAAUGAUGAAUCAGGGGAUGCAAAAUAGACUUUUAAACAAAGGCCCAUGGAAUAUGCACGCUGUGGUACACGGAAUAACUGGCCAACAGGAGCUGUUCUACCAGCACAGGGAGCUCUAUCCAAUAUUCUGUGAUCUACAUAAGAAAAAGUGAAAAAGAAUGGAUGUGUGUAUAUGAAUAAAUAAAUCAUUUUGUUGUGCAGCAGAAAUUAUAACAUUGUAAAUCAAGAAAGAUAAAGGACACUAUAUAAAGUGAACAAUACAAGAAAAGGAUAUUACAUCCAUUUAUAUAUGCACCCAAUAUAAGAGCACCUAAAUAUAUAAAAUUAACAAAAGGAAUGAAUUGAUGGCAAUACAAUAAUAAGCUUUAAAACCCCACUCACGUCAAUGGACAGAUCUUCUAGAGAGAAAAUCAGUAAGACAACAAAGAUCCUAAAUGAUACAUUAGAUGAGUUACUUAAUUGAUAGUUUCAGGACAUUGUAUCAGAAAAAAUUAACUGGAAUACACAUUCUUUUCAAGUGCACAUGAAACAUUCUCUAGGACUGACCACAUACUAAGGCACAAAACUGACCUCAGCAAGUUUAAGAGGAAAGAAAUUACUUCAGGCAUCUUUUCUGACCACAACAGUAUGGAAUUAUAAAUUAACUAUAAGAAAAGAGAAAAAAAUUGCAUGGAGAUUUAAACAAUAUGCUACUGAAAGUAAAUAGGUCAAUGACGAAGUCAAACAGUAAAUUUUAAAAAUGCCUUGGGACAAGUGACAAUGAAAAUAUAACCAUACAAACUCUGUGGUAUGCAGAAAAAGCAGUCCUUAGAGGGAAGUUCCUCAUGAUACAGGCUUUCUUUAAAAAGUAAGAAAAAUCACAAACAACCUAACUCACCAUCUAAUAGAAUUAGGAAAAGAAAAACAAUACCUGAAGUCAGCAGAAGGAAGGAAAGCAUGAAGAUGAGAGAGAAAAUAAAGAUUUUUUAAAACUUGGGAAAAAAGCAAUAAAACCAAAAGCUAUGGGCGUUCCUGUUGUGGUGCAGUGUAAAUGAAUUUGACUAGUAUUCUUGAGGAUAUGGGUUCGAUUCCUCCCUCACUCAGUGGGUGAGGGAUCUGGUAUUGCCUUGAGCUACAGGGCAUGGAUUAUAUGUUGCUAUGGCUGUGGUGUAGGCCAGGAGCUAUGGCUCCAAUCCAAACCCUAGCCUGGGAACUUCCAUAUGCUGUGGGUGUGGCCCUAAAAAGAAAAAAAUAAUAAUAAUAAUAGUUAAUCUGAACAAAUCCACCACUAGAAGUGAAAUAGAAUCUAAUUUUAAACUCCCUGCAAACAAAAGUCCAGGACCAGAAAGCUUCUUUGGGGAAUUCUACCGAGUAUACAAAGAACUUCUUCUAUUGAUCCUUUUCAAACUCUUCCAAAAACUGAAGAAAAAGGAACACUCCCAAAGUCAUUCUAUGAAGCCACCAUCACCCUGAUACCAAAACCAAAGACACUGCCAAAAAAGAAAAUUAUAGGCUAAUAUCUGAUGAAUAUAGAUACAAGAAAAUCUCAACAAAAUAUUAGCCAACUGCAUCCACCAACAUAUACAAAAGGUUAUACGAAGACUAAGUUGGAUUCAUCCCAGGGUCACAAAGAUAGUUCAACAAAUGCAAAUCAAUCAGUAUGCUACACCGCAUCAACAAAUGAAAAGACAAAAAAACAAAUAAUCAUCUCAAUAGAUGCAGAAAAAGCCUAUGAUAAAAUUCAACAUCCAUUCAUAAUAAAACCUCUUACCAAAGUGGACAUAGAACAUUUCAACAUAAUAAAAACUAUUUAUGGAGCUCCUGUCAUGGCUCUCAGAAAAAUACCAAAAAGGGAAAGUACAAAAGAGUAUCUUUAAAAUUUGCAUUAGGAGUUCCCGUCGUGGCUCAGUGGUUAACGAAUCUGACUAGGAACCAUGAGGUUGCAGGUUCAAUCCCUGGCCUUGCUUAGUGGGUUAAGGAUCCGGUGUUGCCAUGAGCUGUGGUGUAGAUUGCAGAUGCGGCUCAGAUCUGGCAUUGCUGUGGCUCUGGCGUAGGCCAGCGGCUCCAGCUCCAAUUCAACCCCUAGCCUGGAAACCUCCAUAUGCUGCGGGAACGGCCCAAGAAAAUGGCAAAAAA
rnacentral:lncRNA from 1 species